GACGAACGCUGGCGGCGUGCUUAACACAUGCAAGUCGAACGGAAAGGCCCUGCUUUUGUGGGGUGCUCGAGUGGCGAACGGGUGAGUAACACGUGAGUAACCUGCCCUUGACUUUGGGAUAACUUCAGGAAACUGGGGCUAAUACCGGAUAGGAGCUCCUGCUGCAUGGUGGGGGUUGGAAAGUUUCGGCGGUUGGGGAUGGACUCGCGGCUUACCAGCUUGUUGGGGGGGUAGUGGCUUACCAAGGCUUUGACGGGUAGCCGGCCUGAGAGGGUGACCGGCCACAUUGGGACUGAGAUACGGCCCAGACUCCUACGGGAGGCAGCAGUGGGGAAUAUUGCACAAUGGGCGGAAGCCUGAUGCAGCAACGCCGCGUGCGGGAUGACGGCCUUCGGGUUGUAAACCGCUUUCGCCUGUGACGAAGCGUGAGUGACGGUAAUGGGUAAAGAAGCACCGGCUAACUACGUG
rnacentral:rRNA from 1 species